UACGGGGGGGGCAAGCGUUGUUCGGAAUUACUGGGCGUAAAGGGCUCGUAGGUGGCCAACUAAGUCAGACGUGAAAUCCCUCGGCUUAACCGGGGAACUGCGUCUGGUACUGGAUGGCUUGAGGUUGGGAGAGGGAUGCGGAAUUCCAGGUGUAGCGGUGAAAUGCGUAGAUAUCUGGAGGAACACCGGUGGCGAAGGCGGCAUCCUGGACCAAUUCUGACGCUGAGGAGCGAAAGCCAGGGGAGCAAACGGG
rnacentral:rRNA from 1 species